UAGCCCUACGGGGCGCAGCAGUGGGGAAUAUUGCUCAAUGGGGGAAACCCUGAAGCAGCAACGCCGCGUGGAGGAUGAAGGUUUUCGGAUUGUAAACUCCUUUUGUUAGAGAAGAUAAUGACGGUAUCUAACGAAUAAGCACCGGCUAACUCCGUGCCAGCAGCCGCGGUAAUACGGAGGGUGCAAGCGUUACUCGGAAUCACUGGGCGUAAAGAGCGCGUAGGCGGGAUAGCAAGUCAGAUGUGAAAUCCUAUGGCUUAACCAUAGAAUUGCAUUUGAAACUGGUAUUUUAGA
rnacentral:rRNA from 1 species